GUCAAUCAGUGUUGUUUCCUAAGUGGACAGUUUGGUUUCACAGAAGUGUGAUUGACUUGGAGUUACAUUGUGUUGUUUAAGUGUUCCCUUUAUUUUUUUGAGCAGUGUAUAUAUAGAUAGAUAGAGAAGCCAAGGCUCACUGCAGUGCUAAGCACCUGGUGGACCUGAUCCCUAAUCUAGUAUCCCUGAGAUCAGUCAAGUGUAAUGGCAACCAAGUCAACAUCCUGGUCACUCAGGUGAAUGGGAGACCUGACCACAAAAUGUGCUUCUAUAAUGUGGAGAUGGACACUUUGACUUCUUCACUGGCAGACCACCUAUUGGCAUCUCACAGGCCGACGACACAGAAAGACGGCCACUGACAGAGCUGAGCGAGAGAUGUCCUGUGUUUCACUUUUUGGACGAGAGCUAGCCUCGUCUGUUUGUGUGUGAGACGAUACUGGUCGACUCUGAUUCUCCCCAGAGUGGAUGUGCUGGUGGUGACUUUCUUCUGCACACAGGAACAUGGGCUUCUUCAGGAUUCCUACCCCAAACCAGCCUUACUGGCCCUGAACGUUUCCUACUACUAUUUCACCUGUAAGUGAGGCAGAAUGGGAGAACAUGGCGAGGAUGUGGUCCGAAUGUGUCUGGGGAACAUGGGUAAUGCCAUGGCAGUGUGGGCACUACAGGAGUCCGAGACCGAGCCUAAACUGGAGGCCAGGGUGGCAGUACUGGCCCUGCAGCUGGGCAUGCUGGUAAGAAAACCAACCAAGCAGUAGGUGAUCAUAGCAUUUAAUGGUGGCUUCACCUCAUUUUCAAUGCAUUUCCUUAGCCAGGUAUUGUCAUACCUGGUACAUAGAGUAAAAUAAUGGUCAAUUAUAGGUUGUUUAACCUGUUGUGGUAUAGGGGGCAGUAUUUUCAC